rnacentral:rRNA from 1 species
UACCAGCUCUCCGAGUUGUAGGGAUGAUUAUUGGGCUUAAAGCGUCCGUAGCUGGCUUAGCAAGUCUCCUGUUAAAUUCAGCGACCUAAUCGUUGAGCCGCGGGAGAUACUACUAGGCUAGGAGGCGGGAGAGGUCGACGGUACUUUCGGGGUAGGGGUGAAAUCCUAUAAUCCCGGGAGGACCACCAGUGGCGAAGGCUGUCGACUAGAACGCGCUCGACGGUUAGGGACGAAAGCUGGGGGAGCGAACCGGAUUAGAUACCCGGGUAGUCCCAGCUGUAAACUAUGCGGGCUAGGUGUUGGGGUGGCUACGGGCCACUUCAGUGCCGCAGGAAAGCCAUUAAGCCCGCGCCUGGGGAGUACGGCCGCAAGGCUGAAACUUAAAGGAAUUGGGCGGGGGAGCACCGACAAGGCGUAGAAGCUUGCGGUUC